rnacentral:lncRNA from 1 species
AUGCUUAGAAAAUACAUCAGAGGAGGACAGAAACUCAGAUAUCUCUGCAUCCUGAAUUCAUUGGUGGAAUUGCUACUGUGCCCAGUAAAGUUCUCCAUUAUGCCCUUCAAACCCAGAGAUAGGGAAGUGGUUUGUGCCCAUGAGUUUAAUUGGAACUGGCUGCUUUUGUUCCAAGGAAGAGUGAAGAGUAGAGUCGGAGGUGGGGGAUGGUGUGAAAUGAACAGUGAAGGAGUCUACCAACUGAAAAAUUUCCUGAAUGAAAUUCUACAUAAUCAACUCUAACCUCUACCUCAAACUUUG